GACGAAGGGGGCUAGCGUUGUUCGGAAUUACUGGGCGUAAAGCGUGCGCAGGCGGCCUUGCAAGCCAGAUGUGAAAUCCCCGGGCUUAACCUGGGAACUGCAUUUGUGACUGCAUGGCUCGAGUGUGGCAGAGGGGGAUGGAAUUCCGCGUGUAGCAGUGAAAUGCGUAGAUAUGCGGAGGAACACCGAUGGCGAAGGCAAUCCCCUGGGCCUGCACUGACGCUCAUGCACGAAAGCGUGGGGAGCAAACAGG
rnacentral:rRNA from 1 species